rnacentral:rRNA from 1 species
GACGAACGCUGGCGGCGUGCCUAAUACAUGCAAGUCGAGCGAAGCGGCGGAUGGGUUAGUAACGCGUGGGUAACCUGCUCUUAAGUCUGGGAUUCCAUUUGGAAACAGACUCUAAUACCGGAUACUAAAGGAUGGACCUGGGGUGCAUUAGCUAGUUGGUAAGGUAACGGCUUACCAAGGCGAUGAUGCAGAGCGGAGUUGAGAGAGUGAUCGGCCACAUUGGGACUGAGACACGGCCCAAACUCCUACGGGAGGCAGCAGUAGGGAAUCUUCCACAAUGGACGAAAGUCUGAUGGAGCAACGCCGCGUGAGUGAAGAAGGUUUUCGGAUCGUAAAGCUCUGUUGUUGGUGAAGCGGUAAUCAACCAGAAAGUCACGGCUAACUCCGUGCCAGCAGCCGCGGUAAUUC